UACCAGCACCCCGAGUGGUCGGGACGAUUAUCGGGCCUAAAGCAUCCGUAGCCGGUACUGCAAGUCUUCCGUUAAAUCCACCUGCCCAACAGUUGGGCUGCGGAGGAUACUACAGCGCUAGGAGGCGGGAGAGGCAAGCGGUACUCAUUGGGUAGGGGUAAAAUCCACUGAUCCAUUGAAGACCACCAGUGGCGAAGGUGGCUUGCCAGAACGCGCUCGACGGUGAGGGAUGAAAGCUGGGGGAGCAAACGGG
rnacentral:rRNA from 1 species